rnacentral:rRNA from 1 species
UACAGAGGGUGCAAACGUUGCUCGGAAUCAUUGGGCGUAAAGCGCACGUAGGCGGCCUAGCAAGUAGGGAGUGAAAGCCCUCGGCUUAACCGAGGAAGUGCUUCUAAACUACUAGGCUUGAAUACUGGAGAGGGUCGCGGAAUUCCCGGUGUAGAGGUGAAAUUCGUAGAUAUCGGGAGGAACACCAGUGGCGAAGGCGGCGACCUGGACAGAUAUUGACGCUGAGGUGCGAAAGCGUGGGGAGCAAACAGG